rnacentral:piRNA from 1 species
UUAAAUAAGGUUGAUUGGAAA